rnacentral:rRNA from 1 species
CACGUAGGAGACUAGCGUUAUCCGGAUUUACUGGGCGUAAAGCGCGUGCAGGUGGCUCGGAAAGUUCGAUGUGAAAGCUCCCGGCUUAACUGGGAGAGGUCGUUGAAUACUUUCGGGCUAGAGAAUGGGAGAGGGAGGCGGAAUUCCGGGUGUAGUGGUGAAAUGCGUAGAUAUCCGGAGGAACACCAGUGGCGAAAGCGGCCUCCUGGCCCAUUACUGACACUCAGACGCGAAAGCUAGGGUAGCAAACGGG